AUGCAAGUCGAGCGGAAGGCCCUUCGGGGUACUCGAGCGGCGAACGGGUGAGUAACACGUGAGUAACCUGCCCCUGACUCUGGGAUAAGCCCGGGAAACUGGGUCUAAUACCGGAUAUGACAUCGUUUCGCAUGGGAUGGUGUGGAAAGUUUUUCGGUUGGGGAUGGACUCGCGGCCUAUCAGCUUGUUGGUGGGGUAAUGGCCUACCAAGGCGACGACGGGUAGCCGGCCUGAGAGGGCGACCGGCCACACUGGGACUGAGACACGGCCCAGACUCCUACGGGAGGCAGCAGUGGGGAAUAUUGCGCAAUGGGCGAAAGCCUGACGCAGCGACGCCGCGUGGGGGAUGACGGCCUUCGGGUUGUAAACCUCUUUCAGCAGGGACGAAGUUGACGUGUACCUGCAGAAGAAGCGCCGGCUAACUACGUGCCAGCAGCCGCGGUAAUACGUAGGGCGCAAGCGUUGUCCGGAAUUAUUGGGCGUAAAGAGCUCGUAGGUGGCUUGUCACGUCGGGUGUGAAAGCUUGGGGCUUAACUCCAGGUCUGCAUUCGAUACGGGCUGGCUAGAGGUAGGUAGGGGAGAACGGAAUUCCUGGUGUAGCGGUGAAAUGCGCAGAUAUCAGGAGGAACACCGGUGGCGAAGGCGGUUCUCUGGGCCUUACCUGACGCUGAGGAGCGAAAGCGUGGGGAGCGAACAGGAUUAGAUACCCUGGUAGUCCACGCUGUAAACGUUGGGCGCUAGGUGUGGGGACCUUCCACGGUUUCCGCGCCGUAGCUAACGCAUUAAGCGCCCCGCCUGGG
rnacentral:rRNA from 1 species